rnacentral:lncRNA from 1 species
UAAGAGUUAGUUCAGAUCGCCUAGUCGAAGGGAAUUUUUCAAUCAGGCAGUAGUUAGGACAGCCGAUACCUGCACCUCCAGCCAGGGCCCCAGCAGAAGGGAGGAGUGUUCCAAGGACCGGAGGCAGGAAGUGGAUUGGUCGCCAGGAAAGGGAAAGCGCCUGAAUUGGAGAUGCGCAAGCGCAGGCACUUCGCAGGUGGCGGGGAGUAGCGAGAAUGAGGCGGGGCUAGGCUAACUGGAGGCGAGGAGGAGCGGUGGAAUAGCAGAAUUACGGAGCGCUGUUAAGGACAAGUUUGGUCGCGUGAUUCUCAUCGGGGUGUCCCGAUGCGAACCGUAAGGUGGAGGUUCAAGUAGGGAAAGUUUGAUUGGACUAAUUCAAGGGGAGAGGUUUGAAGAUUUAGGAAAUUGGAGCAGGGGGAGAAGGUAGAAACUGCUAAAAUAUGGGUCUAGAUUGAUGAGUGCCCUAAAUGACUCCGAAAGUCCCGUAGGGGAAUUUCCAGAAGCAGCUUCGGGUGUUCUACCUAAAAAUAAAAUGAAGAGAAAAUUGAAGUACCUUGUGUUCUAGCAAGCGAAUUUUAAAAAUUACAACGAACUCACUCGUUAAAAAAAUAAGGUUAGUCUUGUUUCCCGAAUGCGAACCAAAGUCAACUUUUUAAGAUGGAUAUCAGCUGCUCCACGCUACACACUUCCUGUUCGAUUGCUGAAAUUGUGCAUCUGAAACACUUUUAAGAUUUGUCAGCAUAAUUUGGUUGGAUGUUGUUACCGGUUGGCUUUGGUUGGUCGGAAGCCAAAGGAACAAAGGUACAAAACUAGUCUUCAUUCUUGCUUGACAUGGGGCGCCCCACUGGAUAACCAAGCCCAGAAAAUGAGCUGCUACACAACCUCAAAUACUUGAGGUAGGUCUAGAUUCCCUUUUAUUCAGCCUUUGUUUCUGCCUCUAUUUACUGUUUUAUGUCCCAUUUAUUCUUUUUUUUUUUAAGAGAGAGGAGGAGAGACAGCGGGGAGAGACAGAGAGAGAGAAUAUUUUUUAAUAUUUAUUUUUCAGUUUUCGGUGGACACAACAUCUUUAUUUUAUGUGGUGCUGAGGAUCCAACCCAGCGCCCCGCGCAUGCCAGGCGAGCGCGCUACCGCUUGAGCCACAUCUCCAGCCCCCAUUUAUUCUUAGCAUGCAAAUGACCCCCCUCAAACUGAGUGUUGGCGCUUGGGGGGGGGGGGGUUAUCACUAGAUCACGCAUUUCAAGGGUCGCAAAAGAGAGAAAGAUGAACACUAAUAUAUUUCAUGGAUAAAUGAUUAAGACAGCUGUUCAAAAACACCAAACCUGUGUCAGCCACCCAAAAUUCUCUUCAAAGUUUCCUUAUUUUGUGUAACUACUUUAAGUGGGUUUACUUCACUAUUAGUAAAUUAAGUCCUCAUCCUAAAUCAAGUUAACCUUUGCCUUUCAUUAGAUGUUAAAAACAAAUUAUGUGAAUGGAGGAAUCAAAAGAGAAGAAGAGGGGGCUGAAGAUGUAAGUCACUAGUACAAUGCUACUCUGCAAGGCCUGGGUUAGAUCCCCUCUACUGCAAAAAACAUAUUCACAAGAAGGUCUUGUUAUUCAACUAGAGAUAUCAAAUCGACUGCUGGAGUAUGGGGGAGCUUUGUCCGACAGAUGAAAAUUAAGAGCAUCAUCAACAUAAGUAAUGCAGAUGAUCCUUGACAUAUGAUGGAGGUAGAGCCUUAUAAACAUAUUGUAAAUUGAAUAUAAGUAAAAAAGUGUAUUCAAUAUAUUUAACCUAUCAAACAUCCUAACACAGCAACAAAGUACACUACUAGUGUUCCCCCUUCUUACCAGGUGACUAAUUUAGCUGCCAUGGCCCAGCAGUACUACUACAUUGUGUUUUGCAGCCCAGGGAAAAGAUCAAAAUUAGAAACAUGUUUCUAUUGACAGUUCUAUUCAUGGCAUUGUAAAGUCAAAAAAUGACAUGUUGAAGCAUAGGAAGUUGGGGCCCAUUUGCAUCUACAGCAUUAAGAAUAGGUAAGAUCACCAAAGAAAAUAUAUCAAGAAAAGGACAAGGACUAAACCCUGAGAACCUUCUAAAUAUAGAGAAGUCAGGUCUCUAAACAAGAGAGUGAAUGAGGAAAAGGAAAACCAGGAGAGUGUGAUAGUUCAGAAGCCAAGGAAAAUUAACACCAUAGGGACCAACAGUGACCUUAUAAAAUGCAGGUCAUUGAAGUAGGGCCAGGUUGGAGUAGCUGAAGACUUGAGUUGGAGAUGGAAAAAGAUAUUUCAGAAAUUGUAUCAAGAAGAGCAGCAGAAAAAUACAACUGUAGAAGAAUGUGAGGUGAGGGUGGACUUUUUUUUUUCUUUUAGGAUUUUGAUUUUUUAUCUUUUAUAUGAGAUGUAUUGUAGAAAAUGUUUUCUAAUGGUAAUGAUUCAAUGGAGAGGGAAAUAUUGAUGAUGUAGGAGACAGCAAAAAGACCACUAUAGUAGCAAAGUCCUUGUGGUGGCAAGAAGGUAUGGAAUUUUAAGUACAAGCGGAAAGAAUGCCAUUGGUAGAGGCAGGGACAUUUCUACAUUGUAUUAAGACAGUGAUGAUGGGCAUGUAUACAAUCUGGUUUUUAAAUUAGGAGAGGGUCUAGGAAGGAUAUCUUUCAUGAUCACUCCUAUUUUUUGGUGAAAUUCGAGGCACAGUCAUUAGCUAGGAGGUGAGGGAGAGAAUGGAGAAGGUUUGAAAAGAGAGGAGAAAACAUGAGACACUUUGAAGAGAAGUGAGAUCCCUUCUGAGAAGCUAUUUGAGUUUUGUGAUCAUGAAUUUGAAGUAAAACAUCCAGUUUGCAUGAAUCUGUUUCUCCAAAAGGGUUUUGAGGGUUUUUCCAUGAGAGAGAAGAGUAAGAUGACACAAGUCUGUAAUGCCAGCAGUUCUGAAGGCCAAGACAGGAGGAUGGUAAAUUUGAGGCUAGCCUCUACAACUCAGCAAGACCCUGCCUCAAAAUAAAAAAAUAAGUAAUAAGAAUAAAGAACUGGGCUGGAGUGCCUGUGGGUUCAAUCCCCAGUACUUAAGGAAAACCUGGGGUGGGGGGGAGGCAAUAAGGGAAUUGAGGUGUUUGCCAGAGAAUGAUUAGAAUGAAAAACCAUAGAAUCUAAACUGGGUGAGGAAGGAAGAAAAGGGAAAUGAGGAACGUGUGAGAGUGUGGAUGGGAGUAGUGGGUGACAGUAGUGAAAGUUGCAAAGAAUUUAGGAAGUAGCCCUAAACCUUAGUCAAUUAACAUACACUAGGAGAGGAGAAUGCGCUUGAUCCUGAGGGGCUGCAGUAGCUGUGAGUUGUUUUUUUUUUGUUGUUGUUGUUUUGUUUUUGGUACCAGGAAUUGAACCCAGGGCCCCUCCUUUUUUUUUUUUUUGUACUUCAUUAGAGACGGGGUCUUGCUUAGUUGCAUAGGGUUUUGCUUAGUUGUGUAGGGCAACUACGAGACAUUUUAAUCCAAAUAUUAGGAAUCUGUGCCAAGACAAUGAACUUCAAAAAUGAAGAUUGAAAAGAAAGUUAGGGGGUUUCUCAUUUAUUGUAAUGGAUAUUGACAGAGGUUUGCAAAUAAAAUCAUCAGUUCUCAUUUUUGGUUUCACUUUUUGCCCAACAGAAUAACUAGUCUCAGUAUUCUUUGGGGGAAGUAGUGACAAGCUAACUCUGCCAUCUAAUUGGUCUUUAUUAUUGAAUUUCCUCCUGUGUUUCUGAGUCCCUGCUCUGGGACAUCUGUAAUGAAAAGUAUAAAAUUCAAUAUAUACUUCAGACCUAAAAUCCAAAAUUGAACUUAACACUCAUCCCCCACCCCUACCUUUUUAUAUAUAUAUAUAUAUAUAUAUAUAUAUAUAUAUAUAUAUAUAUAUAUUCAUUCUAAUUUGUUAUAUAUGACAAUAGAAUGCAUUACAAUUCAUAUUACACAUAUAGAGCACAAUUUUUCAUAUCUCUGGUUGUACACAAGUAUAUUCACACCAUUCGUGUCUUCAUACAUGUACUUUGGAUAAUGAUGUCCAUCUCAUUCCACCAUCAUUUCUAACCCCAUACCCCCUCCCUUCCCUUCCCACCUCUUUGCCCUAUCUAGAGUUUGUCUAUUCCUCCCAUGCUCCUCCUCCCUACCCCACUAUGAAUCAGCCUCCUUUUAUCAGAGAAAACAUUUGGCAUUUGUUUUUGGGGGAUUGGCUAACUUCACUUAGCAUUAUAUUCUUUAACUCUGUCCAUUUACCUGCAAAUACCAUGAUUUUAUUUUCUUUUAUUGAUGAGUAAUAUUCCAUUGUGUAUAUAUGCCACAUUUUUUAUCCAUUCGUCUACUUGAGGGCCCUUUUUAUACUCUUUUAGUUAUUGAAGCCAGAGUUCCCACUCCUCAUCCCUUGUCCAUAUGCUGUCAAUAUGUCUUAAAAGGACCUUGACCAGGUCCUCCUUUUUAUCUACUGCUGCAACCUUAGUUCAGCCCAUGUCAACUCACUUCUGCUAUUGCCAACCAUCUCUUGAUUUCUCUCCCUGUUGCAUCUAAUCUUGCCCCUACUCACCUUAGAGAGUAUUGUUUGGAACACAAAUCAGAUUGUUUCACUUCCUUGCUAACAACUCUUCUAUGGCAAUGAUCUCCAGACUUCUUUACUCUCAUAUCCCUGUAGGGGAAUGGGAGGAAGGCAUGCACUUCCAACCUAUGUUGUAUGUUCAGAUAGAAAUGAUGUGUGUAAUAGGGAGGAAGAGCAUGAGAAGAAGAUUACCACUAAAUAGGGAAGAGAGGUGGGAGGGAAAAGGAGGAAGAAGGGGAGUUGCACGGAAGAUGGAAGGAAACCCUCAUUGUUAUACAGAAUACAUGUAUGAUGUUGUGAGGCGAAAAAGAAAAAAAAGUGUGUCACAUUAGAUUGGAUAGAGAGAAGUAAUGGGAGAGGUGGGGAGGGGAAGGGGAGAUAGGAAGGGCAGCAGAAUAGAUUAGAAAUUAUGAUUGCUGAAUGUAUAUAGGUGACUGUAUGACCAAUGUGAUUCUGCAAUCUGUACAAUCAGAAAAAUGAGAAAUUAUACCCCAAUUGAUUCAAAUGUAUGAAUUGCCAAGAUCAUUGUAAUGUCAUGUGUAACUAAUAAAAAAAAAUGAUGUGUGUAUAUAUAGUACUAUACAAAUGUUUACCUUAUAAUAUCCCAAAAUAGAAAAGAUAACAAUAAGUAAAACAGAAGUUCUAAUACUUUUGCCUAACUGGAUCAUCUUAAGCUUCCCUUUUUUACUUUUUUUAUUUUUUUGUAGUUGUUUGAUGGACAGCAUGCCUUUAUUUGUUUCAUUUUUACGUGGUGCUAAGGAUUGAACCCAGUGCCUCACACAUGCUAGGCAAGUGCUCUGCCACUGAGCUACAGCCCCAGCCAUUGAGUUUCCCUUUCUGCCAAGCCCUUUUGGAGCCACUGGCUUAGAGGGUACUACUCAAUUCUUAGCACAAAAGUUCUUAUCCAUGGGCUCUUUUCUGUACAUAUAGUCUCAUUCCCUGCUAUUUCCCUGCAUGUCUAAAUUCCAACCAUAACAGAUAGCCUGCAUGUACUGGGCUUCAUGUGUGCAUAUCAUGACUGCCAAGAAUGUGCUUUCUCCCAUGACCAUUUCCAGACCAGUUAGGUUAGGGAUUAUUUACUAGAGGAAGUCAUUUUUUAUCACCACCAUUCCACAUAUCAAAUGAGGUCCCCAUAAAAGCCUGUCAUCAACCAUAUUAUAACUUUUGUUAUGCUUCAUUAGAAUAAUUUGUGUGUUUUGCCCAUAAAACUGUAAGCUUCUUAAUUAAUAUAAUGAGUAGAUUUCUUAAAACUUAGCCUUGCUUGCAUUCCUGAAAUAAAUCUCCUCACAAAGUGUAUUUAUUAUAAAUGAAGUUUUGUUUUUUUUUUAACUAUAAACUCCUCCAGGCUAUGAUUUGUAUUUCAUUGACCUUUGUGUCCUAGGGCCAAAGGGCACUUAAUAAAAUAUUGAUGGAUUAAUAAGUGAAUGAAUGCUUUCUUGGUAAAGAUACUUAAGCAGACAUGUAUAAGAGGAAAUCAUAGCCUGGAGUUUCAUAUUUAUUUACCAAGCAAUAUAUCAACUCUUUUUUUUUUUUAAGAGAGAGAGAAUUUUUUUUUAAUAUUUAUUUUUCAGUUUUUCGGCGAACACAACAUCUUUGUAUGUGGUGCUGAGGAUCGAACCCCGGCCGCAUGCAUGCCGGGGGAGCACACUACAGCUUGAGCCACAUCCCCAGCCCCAAUAUAUCAACUCUUAACAAACCAAAUAUAGGACUCCAGACCUGUUUUAAAGCUAAUUCAACUUUUUAAUGAGUGUUGAAUGGAAAUAUCUUAGUGUAUGUCAAGCAUUAAUCCACCCAAUAAUUGUAUUGUUGGUGCUAAUUCUGUUUUUACAGAGGGACAAAACUAAGACAGCACAGUUAAAUAUUGUGUUCAAGAUCAAACAGCUACUGAAUAGAAUCUCAGUUCAGGUCUCUAUGAUGCCAAAGUUCAUGCUCUUAUGUAAUACUUCCUGCCUUCUCUGUUCUAGGAUUUUCCCCACCUGAUAUGACCGAGUACCACACACAUUACAAUGCAUACAUCCCUGUGGAUAUAAUGAGGACUAAGAAGAGGCCUGAUUAUAUAAUCUACUUCUACCAAGACCAAUGCAUAUGAUAAAACAAGAAUAUCUGCUUGGGUUUGGGGGCGUAGCUUUAUGGUAGAGUGCUUACCUAGUGUGCUGAAGGUCCUGCAUUUCAGUCCCCAACAUUGCAAAAGGAAAAAAAUGUUAAAAAAAGAAUGACUGCCUGGGUGAGACCAGUGUAUUGCCAAAUCCAGACCCAUGCUAAUGCAAAGAAAAGGUGAAGCUGGGGAGCAAAGACCUACUGUCGAGUCUUAGAGCCACAGCACAGGCAACACGGAAGAACGGAGCUAGUCAUCGUAAACCCUCUGUCAUCUGAUGCCUCAUUUUAAAAAUGAAUAGAGGUUACAUUUCAGAAUUUCAAACUUUCUGAUUUUCAGACAUUUACCACUGCUUCCAAAUGUUUCAGAAUCCAUGUACAGGGCUGGGGAUGUGGCUCAAGCGGUAGCGCGCUCGCCUGGCAUGCGUGCGGCCUGGGUUCAAUCCUCAGCACUACAUAAAAAAAAAAACAAAAGAUGUUGUGUCCGCCGAAAACUAAAAAAUAAAUAUUAAAAAAUUCUCUCUCUCUCUCUCUCUCUCUCUCUCUCUCUCUCUCUUAAAAAAAAAGAUGUUGUGUCCACCGAAAACUAAAAAAAUAAAUUUAAAAAUUAAAAAAAAA